rnacentral:lncRNA from 13 species
GUUUUGUGGUUUAAUUCUCAACGGUUUCUUUGCAGCUUGAAAACACACGUACUAUAUUUUUUGAAGUAAGGAGACAUGACUGUUACAGAGGCAAAAGGGCGGGAAGAUGGGGUGCCCCUAAGACACUUCCUUGUAUGUUUCCAGAAAAGAGACAGCUGCUUUCAUCUAGAGGGGGCAGACUGAGCCUACGGUAGCACUCAUGGAGCUUCCUGGACAUAACUGACUUUGGGCACAAAUGCUUCAAACACAUCUGAAGACCCUCUGGAUUGAAAGUAUCAAAUCACAUGACCAUUUUCCAUUUAGUCGUUGAAUUGAGCACUUCUAUUGACUUUCUACCAAGUGCCAGGCACUGGGAGACAUUUCAAAUCACACCUGAGGACAGAGAUAGAAGCCACUGCCCACCAGGAGAUCACCACCAGGUGGCUGAUGACAGAUUCAGUGGUGCAGUACAGUGGGACACUUCUCAACCCUGCAUUGAAAGCUACUCGCAAGAUCCCGUGAGGCAUUGA